rnacentral:tmRNA from 1 species
GGGGUUGUUACGGAUUCGACAGGCAUUAUGAGGCUUGUUCUGCAACUCAUCGGCGGAUGUAAAACGUCAGUUAAAUAUAACUGCAAAAAAUACAAACACUUACGCAUUAGCAGCUUAAUAACCUGCCUGCGUGACCAAUCGCAGAGUGCUUGCCUUUGUUGAUUGGUCUUAAAAUAGCAAGCUACGUUGAUUUAUUGCCUAGCUAAAUCAAAAGAGUUUCAUAGGCUCGUCAGCUGAAGAGUUGAGUUAUGUCUCGUCAGUCUGAUUAAAGUAAAUGCAUAACCUAUGGUUGUAGACGAAUAAGUUAGCAGGUGUUUGGACGUGGGUUCGACUCCCACCAGCUCCAUAU